rnacentral:rRNA from 1 species
ACGGGCCGCAGCAGGCGCGAAAACUUUACAAUGCAGGAAACUGUGAUAAGGGAACCCCGAGUGCCCGUAUACGCGGGCUGUCCAGGUGUCUAAAAAGCAUCUGAAGAAAGGGCCGGGCAAGACCGGUGCCAGCCGCCGCGGUAAUACCGGCGGCUCGAGUGGUGGCCACUAUUAUUGGGCUUAAAGCGUCCGUAGCUGGACUAUUAAGUCUCUUGGGAAAUCCGCCGGCUUAACCGGCGGGCGUCUAAGAGAUACUGGUAGUCUAGGGACCGGGAGAGGUGAGAGGUACUCCGGGGGUAGGAGUGAAAUCCUGUAAUCCCUGGGGGACCACCGAUGGCGAAGGCAUCUCACCAGAACGGANCCGACAGUGAGGGACGAAAGCUGGGGGAGCGAACCGGAUUAGAUACCCGGGUAGUCCCAGCCGUAAACUAUGCGCGUUAGGUGUACCGGUGACCACGAGUCACNAC